rnacentral:rRNA from 1 species
GACGAACGCUGGCGGCGUGCUUAACACAUGCAAGUCGAACGGAAAGGCCCUGCUUUUGUGGGGUGCUCGAGUGGCGAACGGGGGAGUAACACGUGAGUAGCCUGCCCUUGACUUUGGGAUAACUUCAGGAAACUGGGGCUAAUACCGGAUAGGAGCUCCUGCUGCAUGGUGGGGGUUGGAAAGUUUCGGCGGUUGGGGAUGGACUCGCGGCUCAUCAGCUUGUUGGUGGGGUAGUGGCUGAGCAAGGCUUGGACGGGUAGCCGGCCUGAGCGGGUGACCGGCCACAUUGGGCCUGAGAUGCGGCCCAGCCUCCUACGGGAGGCAGAAGUGGGGAAUAUUGCACAAUGGGCGGAAGCCUGAUGCAGCAACGCCGCGUGCGGGAUGACGGCCUUCGGGUUGUAAACCGCUUUCGCCUGUGCCGAAGCGUGAGUGACGGUAAUGGGUAAAGAAGCACCGGCUAACUACGUG